rnacentral:lncRNA from 1 species
GCUACAUCCUAGCUCCUCCUGUGUACUUUGAAUUAUUUCUAAAUAACUUUUUUUGUUUUUUGUUUUUUUGAGACAGGAUCUUGCUCUGUAAUUUAGGCUGGCCUUAAACUCACUAUGUAGCCCAGGUUGGCCUUGAACUCGUGGGAAUCCUCCUGCCUCAGCCUCCUGCUUGCUGGUAUUACAGAUAUGCACCACUACCAUGCCCAGCUCUUGAUACUUUAGAAUCCCUUAUAUGAUGUAAAUGCUCUGGAAAUAGUUUUUCUGCUGUUCUAUUUAGAGAAUAAUGACAAGAAAAGAAACUCUACCCGCUCAGCACAGAUGUACCAUGCAGGCCUAACUACAUCACACAUGUUAGCAAUAACAUAACUAGUUUUUUUCUAAUUUUUUGAUUCCUGAUUGGUUGAACCAAGGAUGAAAACCCCAUUAAAUCAGAGGGCCUGUGUGGGUGUGAAGGAAACACCUGUCCCUCUUUUUAAUGGGAUUAUUAUGUCUGGGAAGUAAAGCAGUUGCUAUAAUACAGUGGUAGCUGUGAGGAACAGAAGCUCAUUGAAGGAACACAGGAGCGGCUCCAUGUUGAGUUACAGGAGCGACAUCCAAGCAGAAACCCCAAGGGGUCUCUCGAAGCACCGCAUCUCCUGGGCCUUUGCAGAGGAAUGGUUUCGGAUAAAGAGCAGUGAAAGCCUGGACAGAGGGACUUCCGUCCACUUUCCUUGCCUUUUGCAGGAAAGAUCCAAUGCAAAAGAGCACUGUAGUUCAGACUGCCAUCCUGUACCCAUCCGUCCACUUCCUAGUCAAUAGAGGAGCCAAACAGUGGUGCAGUAGAAGGCCUCUCCACAGCCUGCAGCCCAUUGUGACUCCUUCAAGACCAGAGUGCAGCCCCCACCAGCUCCAUUUCCUACCUGAGAAAGGAUUCCUCCCACUUAUCCCAACAAUAACAAGC